rnacentral:lncRNA from 1 species
AAAGACGGCGUCGGGGAAGUGGAAGAGGAAAUUGGUUGCAUCAAAGGGUUGUACGUUGCCGUACGAUCAUCGGCAGCAAAGGGUGAUACUGAUCCCAGGUUUUGCAUUGAUACGUGAACUCCAUUGGAUUCUCCAACUGACAUUUUUUUUGUUUUUCCCUAUUUUCACUAAUUAUUUACUACCAGUAUUCUUUACCUAUUAUUCUAUUUAUAUUUUCAACACAAAACCCUUAAAUAUGAAAACGACGAAAUAUGUCUUUAGUUAGAAUUGGAGAGAUUUAAAGCAAAAGGAAAAAGGAAAAAAUAGAAAGGGGAAAAAAGUAAGUUUAGUGUCUUAUAAAAUAAAGACUAUAAAAGAAAUAAAUUGAAUACAAGCAUAGAGGGAGAUUGAUAUUUUAUUCAAUUUUCAAAGUUAUGUUCAUAAUAAAUUGAAAACUCCUCUAUUUAUAGAAGAACGGAAGCAACUGCGAGGCUUUUCAGGAAGCACCUGCAAGAUUUUUCUUUAGCUGCUUGUAAGAUGUCUGCAUGAGCUGCUCGCAAAUUGCUUGUUUAAUAAGAAGCUGCUGCAAAUUAUUUCAUUGAGUUGCUUGCAACCUGCCUGCAUCAGUUGUUUCUAUGCUGUCUGCAUGAGCUGCUUGCAACCUGUCUGUUUAAUAAGAAACUGCUGCAAAUCAUUUCAUUGAGUUGCUUGCAACCUGCCUGCAUCAGCUGCUUGUAAAUAAACUUCAACAGAGUACUAAAUGGAUAAUCUUAUUCAGGAGGAUUAUCUAUAGCGGAGUAAUGAAUGGACAUCCACAAUAUAAUAUUUUUAUAACACUCCCCCUUGAAUGUUCAUUAAAAGAUAAUGUGCCUCGUUAAAACCUUACUAGGAAAAAUCCAGUGGGAAAAAACCUAGUGAAGAAAAAAGAGUACACAUAUUUAGUAAUACGCAUUUCUAGCUGCCUCAUUAAAAACCUUACAAGAAAAACCUAUGGGAAAAAAUCGUAGUAAGAAAAAAAGAGUACAAUGUGUAUUUCACUCCCCCUGAUAAAAACCUUGUUUCAAAUAUUUGAGUCUCCGCAUUCCAAUCUUGUAUACCAUCUUCUCAAAAGUUGAAGUUGGCAAAGAUUUAGUGGAAUGUGUUUUGUUCUAUCUCCUUUUAUAAAUCCUCUCUUUCAUUGGGCUAUGCAUGCAGCAUUGUCUUCGUAUUAAAUUGUGGAUCUUUUAUCACAUUCCAAACCACAUUUUUCUCGAAUGAAAUAAAUCACUGAUCUCAACCAUACGCAUUCCCUACUUGCUUCAUGAAUAGCUAUUAUCUCAGCAUGAUUUAAAGAAGUAGCAAAAAUAGAUUGCUUUGUGGAGCGUCAUAAUAUGACAGUACCCCCACAUGUAAACAUGUACCCGGUUUGAGAUCGAACUUUAUGGGGAUCAGAUAAAUAACCUGCAUCUGCAUAACCAACAAGAUCUCCACAACCUUUGUUAGCAUAAAACAAUCCAAUAUCAAGAGUUCCCUUUAAAUAUCACAAUAUAUGCUUAAUCUCAUUCCAAUAUCUCUGUGUAGGAGAAGAGCUAUAUCUUGCUAGUAAAUUAACAGAAAAUGCUAUGUCAGGCUUUGUAGCAUUAGCAAGAUACAUAAGUACACCAAUUGCAUUGAGAUAGGGUGUUUCAAGACCAAGGAGUUCCUCAUCUUCUUCUGGAUGUCGGAACGGGCCCUUAUUCACUUCAAGUGAUCGAACAAUCAUUGGUGUACUCAAUGGGUGCGCUUUGUCCAUGUAAAAGCGUUUUAAGACCCUUUAUGUAUAGGCAGAUUGAUGGAUAAAGAUCUCGUCUGCUAAAUGUUGAAUUUGCAGACCAAGACAAAGUUUUGUCUUUCCAAGAUCUUUCAUCUCAAAUUCUUUCUUAAGAUAUUCAAUUGCCUUUUAGAGCUCUUCUGGAGUUCCAACAAGAUUUAUGUCAUCAACAUAAACAGCAAGUAUAACAAAUUCUAAUGAUAUUUUCUUUAUAAAAAUACAUGGACAAAUAACAUUAUUUAUGUAACCUUCUUUCAACAAAUAUUCACUAAGGUGAUUAUACCACAUGCGCCCAAAUUGCUUUAAACCGUACAAAGAUCUUUGUAAUCUGAUUGAAUAUAUUUUCCGAGAUUUUGAAUUUGCUUCAGGCAUUUUAAAUCCUUUAGGGAUCUUCAUAUAGAAUUAAUCAAAUGAGUCAUAUAGGUUAUGACUUACAUUUAAAUGGCAUGACAUCUUCAGGUGUCUGGACUACAGGUCUGAUCCACACAAUCUUUUACAAUAUUGUGCACUAUAUUGUAUCAAAUAUAUCGUCGACGAUCAUUUCGUAUCAGUUCGCAAGCGACAUAACUUGUUGAGAUCUCUUCACUUUCUUUAUUUUCAGGUACCCGAACUUCUUCUGGAGUUUCAUGAAAUGUUAUGUCGUGGGCUCUUCCAGAGCUUAUUUCCUCCUUAUUAUGAUCAUUUGCUCCUAUUCUUUUCAAGGAUUGUUACCUUUGGAAUCGAUUGGCCUACCAUGCUUCAUGCGUACAGUAAACUCUAUCCUUCAGGGACUUUAAUUUUAAUAGGAGUAUUUGCAACGGAAAUAUGAUAUUUAAUUUUUGGAUCAGCAAAUGCUUCUGACAUUUGACUUGAAUUAUCUUCUAAGCGAGGAUCAUAUUAAUGAUAAUUCGAUUCAUAUAUCAUAUUUUCCAACUGUUUUAUUCCAU